rnacentral:rRNA from 1 species
ACACAUGCAAGUCGAGGGGCAGCAUCAUCAAAGCUUGCUUUGAUGGAUGGCGACCGGCGCACGGGUGAGUAACACGUAUCCAACCUGCCGACAACACUGGGAUAGCCUUUCGAAAGAAAGAUUAAUACCGGAUGGCAUAGUUUUCCCGCAUGGGAUAAUUAUUAAAGAAUUUCGGUUGUCGAUGGGGAUGCGUUCCAUUAGGCAGUUGGCGGGGUAACGGCCCACCAAACCUACGAUGGAUAGGGGUUCUGAGAGGAAGGUCCCCCACAUUGGAACUGAGACACGGUCCAAACUCCUACGGGAGGCAGCAGUGAGGAAUAUUGGCCAAUGGACGAGAGUCUGAACCAGCCAAGCAGCGUGAAGGAUGACUGCCCUAUGGGUUGUAAACUUCUUUUAUACGGGAAUAAAGUGAGCCACGUGUGGCUUUUUGUAUGUACCGUAUGAAUAAGGAUCGGCUAACUCCGUGCCAGCAGCCGCGGUAAUACGGAGGAUUCGAGCGUUAUCCGGAUUUAUUGGGUUUAAAGGGAGCGUAGGCGGGUUGUUAAGUCAGUUGUGAAAGUUUGCGGCUCAACCGUAAAAUUGCAGUUGAUACUGGCGACCUUGAGUGCAACAGAGGUAGGCGGAAUUCGUGGUGUAGCGGUGAAAUGCUUAGAUAUCACGAAGAACUCCGAUUGCGAAGGCAGCUUACUGGAUUGUAACUGACGCUGAUGCUCGAAAGUGUGGGUAUCAAACAGGAUUAGAUACCCUGGUAGUCCACACAGUAAACGAUGAAUACUCGCUGUUGGCGAUAUACAGUCAGCGGCCAAGCGAAAGCAUUAAGUAUUCCACCUGGGG